AACCUUUCAAUUUCCAUUAGCACACUUUAGUUAAUUUGUUCAUAUUAUACAUAUUGAAUUUCAAUUUGACUUUGGUGGGAAUUUCUCAUUUUUAUGAAACAUGGAUUUAAGAAUCAACUUUUAUUGCAAAUUUAUUACAUUUAUAUUUCAAUUUACAUUUCUAUAAAACAUAUUUAUAAAAGAGAACAUUUUUGGUAAUGUUGACUUUUUGGUCAACAAUUGACUUUUUGGUCAACUGUUGACCAAAGUCAACAUGAUCUAGCAAUCCUAAAAUUUCAUCCUUCUUCAUCCAUCAUAUUCAUGCCAUGUUGCUCCAUUUGAUUUGCCUACAAAGAUAACGAACAUAAGUUAACAUUUGAAACCAUUUGACAUUAACAUUUCAAAACCAUUUGACACCAACAUUUCAAAACCUUUUUAAGCUAAACAUUUAAAUUUCAAAUCAAACUUUUACUAAUAUUCAAAUCCAUUUCAAAUAACUUUCAAAUCCAAUACAAAUGACCUUCAAAACCGCUUUUGAUUAAUAUUUCAAUCCAUUUAGAACCAUUUCAAAUUAACUAAAUUAAACAUUUAAAUCCAUCCAUUUCAAAUUAGCUUUUAUUAACCUUUAAAUCCUUUUCAAAUCAACAUUCCACAAAACCAAACUUAACAUAAAUCAAUUUCAAUUAAACAUCCAAACCAAUUCCCAAUUAAUUUAACAUUCAAAUCGAUUUCAAACUAACAAUUCAAAUUCUAUUUAAUUAACAUAGUUAAACCCCAUUCAUUUGCUGCUAACAAAAGCUGUGACAGAUAAAAAAUCAGAUCAAACCACCUCUCAUACUCGAAUUCAUUUGCUGCCAAUUACCUUUUUGAUCAAAAAUCAAUUAAUCAAACUAACAUUUUGAAAUUUAACAAUAACAAUUUUUCACAACUUUCAUUAACAGCAAAGGUGAUUUUUCCAUCCACUGCAGAAUCAAAUUCUAGCUCAUUUUCAUUUUGAAUUUUUAACUAACAUUUACAUUUGAUAACUAACUAUAACUAAAUUUUAAUUUAACACUAAUUUCAUGUGAAUUUGAUAACUAGUUUUGAAUUACUAUAUAUAUACUUAUUCACUCAUUUCACAGAAAAACUCUUUUUUUUUCAAUCAUUUACUUCAUUCAGUCACAAAGAAAAAGUUACCCAAAUUCUCCCAUUCAUAUACACGAUUGUUCUUCUUCAUCAAAACAGAACUCAACACAAACAGAAGCAUAACAAAACACCAAAACGCACGCAUUCGAGAAGGCAUCGUUACACAAUCAAUCUCAUAGAAGAAGAGAGAAGAAGAAGAAGAGACAGAGAAAAACAGAGGAAGAAUCGUACCUGUUUUCGUUGUCGCGUCGAAAUCAAUAUUCAAUUCAUAGUUUUUUAGUUGUUUUUGAAGCUUAUAAACAGAGAAGCGUUUUUUCCUUUCCUCUUUUGCUUGCUGCAACUCAGCUAAACAUUCUCUUCAUUUGUUAGUAGCUUGGAUUAGGU
rnacentral:lncRNA from 1 species